AGGGCCACUAACCUCUAGACCAACAAGCCAGUCAAAGGACUUUCAAGUCUGAACUUUUCAAGUAAGAACUUGAGUAAGCCCAGCAAAUAUUUGUCCAUAAUACACAAAUAAACAGUUUCCGAACAAAACUUCUCGUGUUAAAUCCUACUUGAAACCAGACCAUAGACUCGAUACAUUUGAAAUUUCAUUUUACCGAUAUGAAGGAUUUUACUAUUUGACGUUCAAUUUUCCAAUCAUCCCGUCAGCAUUUCAAUAUGAAUAUCAAAAUUUCUGGUGCACUCAAAAGAAUUUACACAGUUUGUUUCAGAGGCAAUCAGUUUAGUCAUAGAAAAUGUCAUGGCCAAGUGCCACGUGUGCAGUCGUACCCCAACCAGGACACCAUCAAGUUAGCGACGGUUCGCAUCACGCCAACGCUGAAGCUACUUUCCUUUAGAGUCUCCAAGAACUACCUCUACUUCAGCUUUGCGCGACCCGAUACCGACCUAUUGGAGUUCAAUGAACUAUGUAGCGAAGAAGGGUAAAUCUAGACCUUAGAACCAGUAUUGUUAUAGUAUGUGGGGAGAAAAAACUUCAAGUGUUAAUUAUAUGGAUUCAGCUAAAGAACGGGUGAAGUGGCCGUUUUGAAGCCAGGGUCUCGGUACUGAAGCACGGGUUGUUAAGACACGUGUACAUUUUAGUGAAUCAUAAAAUAAUUUUAAUGUAGCAUUUCAACUGCCGUUUCAACUUUCGGAAUUUUUUUCAAUAGAUUUUUCUUCCACUUUGUCUGUUUCUUUGACUGCUACUAAAGAAUCUAUAUCUUUAUUUAUACUUUGAAGAUCAUUUUUAAAACUCCCAAACGGACUAUAACAUUACUGUUCACUCGUAUUUAUGGUAAUAUUAAGUUUAACCUCGUGUGUCCUAUGAAUUGAGUCCAUGUGCCUGUUUUGUUUGUCGCACAAAGUAAAAUCGGUAAAUAUAUGUUCGUGUAAUGUUUUGUCUGUGUUAAUGUCAUGUAACAAUAAUGUCUCUUACGUAAGUGUAUUGUAAUGUCGGAAAAUAAAAUAAUUGGAAGUUA